CACAGGUUAUGCUGCAUGAAGGACCUCCCACAGCCCUUUCUUAGCUUGCAGGCGCUGUGUGAUAAUCCUACAUUUUCUGCUGUCAUUUAUCCAAAUCAUAAAUGCAGAAUCAUGAAACCAGAGUGAAGGAACCGUGGAUGCUCAGCACCUCUGAAAACCAGUGCAAGGUGGCUUACGUGGACACUAAACCCAAAAUUGGAGGCAUCCAAAUUAAAGGAGAGCUCUGAAAAAUUGGGCAUAAGUGAUUUGCUGAAGGUCACAAAGGAACUCACUGUCAAAGCUGGGAAGAGAAUUCAGAAGUUUCUGGCUUCCAGUUCUAUGCUCAGACCAUGAGAUGUAUUGCCUCUUUACAUUAGACACACAUUAUAUUAAAAUAUGUCAUUCAUAUAUAACCACCCCUCCUCCAGGCCACUAAUGAAAUUGUUAAAGAUCCAAACACUGAUUCCUGUGGCACACGGACACCUCUCCCAACUGGACACAUUUUAAAUUUAUCAAUCUCUGCUCCUUGUGUUUCAUUUUUGAGAUACCAUGCUGAAGAAUGGCAGCAUUUGGUAUGUAAGACAGCACAUUAAAAGUAGCAGUGUUGAGAGCAUAAACAUCAGUUGUGCUCCAAGAACUUGGCACAGUGGAGCCAAUAGACAAGGCUGAAAGUAGAAAAUUACAUGCCCAGAAGUGUGAGGAAGAAACCCUGAAUAAAUCUAUCCUUUAGUUUAGUCUUAUUAAGAAUAGUAAUUCAUAAGCCUUGGUUGAAAUGUAUUUAUGUUCUCCAUGCGUGACAGCUUUAAGUUUCCAUAUAAAUACUGAUAUGAACAGAUGAGCCGGUUCAUGGUAAGUUAUGGUAACCCUCUACCCCAGCUUGACUCUUCAUUGCCUCUGUGAACCCAUAGCUUUAGCUCAAAAGGAAUUUUAACUCAAAGGAAUGACUUGAUAAAGGUGCUUUUAAAGCAAUUAGGCUAACAUGGCCAUCAACCACCAGGGUACUAUGCAAAUUAGCUUCCUCUUCUGGAAACUGAUAAACUACACAAUUUUUAACACAAAGUAAUUGUUUGGCAAAAUGAUACAACCUUUUUAUGGUUGGUAUUAUCCACUAAACAAUAGCUGAGAUGCCAAGAACACUGUAACCAGAGCAGUGGGAGGCUGCUGCUCCCAUUGGAGUUUUGUGUUGACUGCCAGGAUUGGCAUUAAGGAUAGGCCACACAGGCUAAAGUUAACAUGCUGAUGGCCACUUGUGUUUUUCACCCUAUCCUGUAGACCUUAUCCAAGCAGGUUUAUUAACGAGGAAUUAGAACACCAGUGGCCACCCAGAGCCUAUGCACACAAAUACUUCCAUUAUUGCUUCCCUAACUGGAUAGUAAGUAACUAUAGUGGAGCAUUGUUCGGGGGGAAAAAAAACAAACAAUCUAGCAUGCACACAGCCACAGGUACCAGCUGGUAAACAUGUCCAGGGAUGGGAUUUUGGAUAUUGGGGAAAGGGCACUGCCACAUAUGACAUCAUCUUUCCUCCAUAAUGAAAAACAUUUUCAUCUAUUUUUUGAAUCCUAAACACAUUCAUUGAACCAGCAAUGUAGGUGGAUUCUCCCAAAGAACUAUGAAUGUGUCUAGCACAUAUGGGGUGCCAUGCAAUAUAGAAAUAAUCAUAGAUUUUUGCAUACAAAAGUGAAUCUGAAGUUUUACUAAUUUGAGAAAAAGUAUCACUUUUUUUAGAGCCAGAUGCUCAACUGAUGUCAUUUGGUAAAACCAUAGAGAAGCGAUGCCAAUUUAUACCAGCUGAUGUUCUGGCCCUUUUUAUACUACUAGCAGCUUUCAUAUAUGUAUAAUGAGAAGUACACUAAACAGUCUUCUUACACUUAUUACUUAAUAUUCAGUUACUUCUUGACUGUGUUUACAUUUAAAGAAAUACCAUCAAUGUUUAUAACACUGAACUGUGACCCUUUUUAAUCUUUAACUUUGUUUGCAAAGUCUGCAAAAGUGGGAAAUUAGACGUUUACCAAAUCAUAUACAGAAAAGGAGUGCUUGUGGCACCUU